rnacentral:tRNA from 2 species
AAGGAUUUAGCUUAAAUAAAAGCGUUUGAUUUGCAUUCAAUAGAUGUGAGAUGAAGUCUUGCAGUCCUUG